CAGUCGCCACGGGAAUACGAAGGGGGCUAGCGUUGUUCGGAAUUACUGGGCGUAAAGCGCACGCAGGCGGCUCGAUAAAUUAGAAGUGAAAGCCUUGGGCUUAACCUGAGAAUUGCUUUUAAGACUGUCGAGCUAGAAUCCAGAAGAGGGUAGUGGGAUUCCGAGCGUAGAGGUGAAAUUCGUAGAUAUUCGGAAGAACACCAGUGGCGAAGGCGACUACCUGGUCUGGCAUUGACGCUCAUGUGCGAAAGCGUGGGGAGCAAACAGGAUUAGAUACCCGCGUAGUCCCUGUCUCUUAUAA
rnacentral:rRNA from 1 species